AUGCAAGUCGAACGAUAUAGUGGCAGACGGGUGAGUAACGCGUGGGAACGUACCUUUCACUACGGAAUAGCUCCGAGAAAUUGGUGGUAAUACCGUAUACGCCCUCAGGGGGAAAGAUUUAUCGGUGAAAGAUCGGCCCGCGUUGGAUUAGCUAGUUGGUGAGGUAAUGGCUCACAAAGGCGACGAUCCAUAGCUGGUCUGAGAGGAUGAUCAGCCACACUGGGACUGAGACACGGCCCAGACUCCUACGGGAGGCAGCAGUGGGGAAUCUUGCACAAUGGGCGAAAGCCUGAUGCAGCCAUGCCGCGUGAAUGAUGAAGGCCUUAGGGUUGUAAAAUUCUUUCGUCAGGGAUGAUAAUGACCGUACCUGAAGAAGAAGCCCCGGCUAACUUCGUGCCAGCAGCCGCGGUAAUACGAAGGGGGCUAGCGUUGUUCGGAAUUACUGGGCGUAAAGCACACGUAGGCGGAUUUUUAAGUCAGGUGUGAAAUCCCGGGGCUCAACCUCGGAACUGCAUUUGAAACUGGAAGUCUUGAGACCAGGAGAGGUUAGCGGAAUACCGAGUGUAGAGGUGAAAUUCGUAGAUAUUCGGUGGAACACCAGUGGCGAAGGCGGCUAACUGGACUGGUACUGACGCUGAGGUGCGAAAGUGUGGGGAGCAAACAGGAUUAGAUACCCUGGUAGUCCACACCGUAAACGAUGAGAGCUAGUUGUUGGCAGGCAAGCCUGUCGGUGACGCAGCUAACGCA
rnacentral:rRNA from 1 species